UCCGGAGAUUUCUUGGUUUCACACUCUCAACUUCUUCCUGGCUAUACUCCUCCUGUAAGUUCCAUUAGUUUAGCUUUCGUUUCAAGCUUCAAUUCAAAGAAUUUGUUGCAAUCUAUUCAGAAUAGAUAUAGAUAAGGCUUACCUUGCUAUCAGACAACACAUGGAGACAAAAAAUGACUUGGUUUCAAUAUGUUAAUGUUGCAUAUUACCGUCGAAAAUCUUGUACAAAAAAACCGGAAGGUAACAGAUUCUACGCUUACCUCUCUUGCAGGGUUCAUACUUGCUGAAAAUGAAGAUGCUUGAUGCGCAGAAGGAGUUAACAUGCAUUAAAUUCUCGUUCGACAUUGGACUCAGAUCAUCCGUGGCUGACAUAUAGAGCAACUUCACCUGCAUUGGUGAUUGUAUAGGUAGUUUAGACUAAUUGUUAUUCUUGCUAAUAUCGGUUAGGUCAGACCUUAAUGUGCUCCUUUUGUUUUUUUGGACACCAAUGUGAAUUAUAAGAUAUCACCUGGUCUUAUUGCAUCAGCAUCAGUCAAAUGAGCUUGAAACGGUAUAAUUGACAAUGUCUAGUCUCAACCAUCAUUAAUUAAAGUAUGUAAUGCGAAAAGUAAAUCAGACCAGAUAUAUGAUUAAACAGAUAUUUGACUAAUUCGAAUUUUGCAAGCUAGCUAAAGCUAAGCUACUUUACCAAUAUUACAUCAUUGCACGUUUCUAGAAUUGUAAAAGACAAGACAGGCAUUAUCAUUCUUACCAGACUAUACAAUUCUAAAUCAAUCAAUGACUCUUACCAGAAAGAUGUAUAAUUCUUAAAGCUCAUUAUAGCUUCUUCCUUUUUGGUUUUUGUUUUUUUUAAUCGAUCAAGCAAAUUUGGGUUGAUUGGGUAAAAUCAUUACUCAUGAGUGUUUUGUCUUCUGUAAUUGAGGUGUGAGUUUUAUCAUCUACAUUAUUGGUAGUAGCAAUGACCCAUCAAACAAAAACAAAACAAAGAGACUUUUUUUCCUUUUCUUUUCGUUCUGAUGAAAACCCAUCAAGAAAGACUUUUGAAAGCUAACCCAGAAAGUGGCUUUUGAAAACUUUAUUCAUCUAAAUUGGGUACCCACACGUUAACCAAACAAGAAACCUGAAAACGAUAAACCCAUUACUUGUUGUUUUCUUUGGUGUACCCGAUCUUAUCUUCAUCAGGAUUCAAUC
rnacentral:lncRNA from 1 species